GUCGGAGGGAUCAUUACCGAGUUUACAACUCCCAAACCCAAUGUGAACGUUACCAAACUGUUGCCUCGGCGGGAUCUCUGCCCCGGGUGCGUCGCAGCCCCGGACCAAGGCGCCCGCCGGAGGACCAACCAAAACUCUUAUUGUAUACCCCCUCGCGGGUUUUUUUAUAAUCUGAGCCUUCUCGGCGCCUCUCGUAGGCGUUUCGAAAAUGAAUCAAAACUUUCAAACAACGGAUCUCUUGGUUCUGGCAUCGAUGAAGAACGCAGCGAAAUGCGAUAAGUAAUGUGAAUUGCAGAAUUCAGUGAAUCAUCGAAUCUUUGAACGCACAUUGCGCCCGCCAGUAUUCUGGCGGGCAUGCCUGUCCGAGCGUCAUUUCAACCCUCGAACCCCUCCGGGGGGUCGGCGUUGGGGAUCGGCCCUGCCUUGGCGGUGGCCGUCUCCGAAAUACAGUGGCGGUCUCGCCGCAGCCUCUCCUGCGCAGUAGUUUGCACACUCGCAUCGGGAGCGCGGCGCGUCCACAGCCGUUAAACACCCAACUUCUGAAAUGUUGACCUCGGAUCAGGUAGGAAUACCCGCUGAACUUAAGAU
rnacentral:rRNA from 1 species